GAUGAACGCUGGCGGUCUGCUUAAACACAUGCAAGUCGAAACGAACUUACUUCGGAGUGAGUGGCGGACGGGUGAGUAACGCGUGAGAAUCUGGCUGUGGGUCGGGGACAACCACUGGAAACGGUGGCUAAUACCGGAUGAGCCGAAAGGUAAAAGAUUUAUUGCCCACAGAGUGAGCUCGACGUCUGAUUAGCUAGUUGGUAAGGUAAAAGCGUACCAAGGCGACGAUCAAGUA
rnacentral:rRNA from 1 species